GGCCCCGUAGCAUAGCCUGGUAGUGCGCACGACUGAUAAUCGUGAGGUCCCGUGUUCAAAUCACGGCGGGGCCA
rnacentral:tRNA from 1 species